ACAGGUAAGGUGUAUGUUGCACCCGACUAACAUUGUCACUGAACAGGAGGAAGACAUGCAGUUUGUCCCUCCCAGGAUCCCUGAGACACAAUACGGACAAAAUGUGAGGCAUCGGACCACUGCGCCCACACAAGGAAGAGGCUGGAGGCUUGUGCAACCCGAGUGGGCUCACGAUCACACACUGAGGAGGAAUGCACAGAGGAACUUCCUACAUGCACGGGACCACUAAGAACAGCAUGUCGGGGUCGGCUCGGACCACAUGGGGAUCAAAGUCCAUGACCCUUAGGUCCUCCAGGCUCCUGGCUUGAGACAGAACCAGGUAGGCCUGGCCGCUCUCGAAGACCCUCGCCAGGGAGAUCUCCACACAGUCCGAGCGUCUUGCCCUGACAAAACACACGCACAGAGUGGGUACGAUACAUGCCCGAAAUACAGAGACGCAUAAAUAUACCCUGAGAAUGUGGUGGAAAACUGUCAUACAGAGAGGAAGACCUAUUUGAUACACGUGAUAUGAGUCAGCCUGAAGUGUUGUGAAAACCAGCUUUGUUUGGAUAGCUGCAGAGAGGAUGAGUCACAUGAGUAGGGAAUCGAGAUAUAUCGCUUAGAGCUACACAUCUUCAUUGCGAAUAUAGGCUGUAAUUAUCACAAGGUUAUGAUCUUGCGACAUCACUCUGCAUCUGUUUCAACACCGCCCUCGGAGUCGAGGGGAGGGAAAGCAAACAUGGAUGACACUGAUGGUGACCAAUGAACUCAAUUACCCAGAGGGCUUGGCUCAUCUGUCUAGCCAAUCAUACGGACACAUUUCAGAGCAAUGAGAGCCAGUUCUUGUGGCAAGAGGGGAGCUGCAGAGUCGGUGGUGGGCUGACUAAUAACAUACAGGGUCAAACACAGCUGAUAUGUAACCGGCGCUGUCUGGUGGUUUACUGGCAAGACGUGGGGUGAAUGAGAAUUGCUAAUGAGAAUCGCUAAAUGGACAUCCAUCUUCUGAGGCUAGCAGGAUUUAAUUUCAUCCAGAAGUAUGUCACCUUUCCUCUCCCCUUAAUAACUCUGCCUUGAGUGGAUAUAUAAAAGCAAUAUGGUGAUUAGCAAGGCUAGCUGGACUUUCAGAGAUAUUGCCUUUACCAACAUAGUAACAUUAGUUUGGCAGGGGCGAUUCAUCACAGCCAAAGGGAGACGAUAGAGUUUUCGAAAUGUGAUCAAAGGUAUGACUCAUCCACAGCCCUAGGUCCGUCACCGUUGAGAGAGAGAGUGCACGUCUCUGUUUGAAUGUUUUUAUAAUGCAUCCUUCCUUUCUCCCUUUGAGUUAUCAAGGAUCCAACACAAUUGUACGUAUCAAAGCAGGGGGUACACUGCAUAGCUUGAACCAAAUCAGUCGUAUCAGAUCACUCAUUACCUCAAGGAAGUGCAGGGAAGGAUGCAUUUUAUUUUGAUUUGAAUAAAUGGCCCAUGUGUGAAAUUCCCACCAUAGACCCAGUCGGUAUUAAAUCUAUUAUUUCACUGGCUGAAAGUCCACUACGACUGCUCGAGUCCCGUUGACCAGGCCCCUUUGGACGUCCGGGUUCUUUGUUAGCAUGACCUGGGGAUACAAAGCAGCCAAGUCAGUGAGCCUACAAUGGAACAUUUUUAUUUAUUUGACAAUUAUUAAAUCAAGCUAGCACAACAGUUUAGAGAUGCAUUCACUCUUAUGUAGUUGUGAUCACUAAAGGAGUAGUCUCCAUGCAGUGACCUGAGUGCCCACUUUGAGCUGCAAUAGCCUGCUGACUGGACUCUUGGUCUUCACCAGCACACAAUCGCUGUCCACUGACUCAAACAACUGCCUCAAACAACACACUGACCCUGGGAACGAAUGGAGGACCCAUUUAAACUUAACAAAUAUUUUCUCAUCUCUGUAAAGUAGUAUAAUGACAGCAAACGGCUACAAACAACAGCUACAUUUUCUUGGGGAGACACAAACAAACAGACUAAGAACAUGUUCAGUCGGUUACCCCACAGAGGAGCACAUUUAGAUUCUGUUUUGAGCAAUAGAGCAGAUUCUUUCAUUUUUUUAACACCUGAUGUUUUUUUUAGGUGGCAACCCUACUUUCAAUUAUCAUCUCAGCAUUCUCAAUUUGAAGUCAUGACCCCAAAAAACCAGCAUGUCACACAGAGAUUGAACUCAUUGUGGCUGGUGACAAAGGCUCACCACAGGUUGUCCCCAGUAUCAAGGGUAGCAUAAGGCUCACACACAGGGCAGCAAAAACAAAACAAUUCCUUUCAUUGGUUCUUGCCAACUUAAUCAUGGGGUAUGUUUGCUCGAGGUUGCAAUUCAUUGGUGAAUUUUUGUUUAUUUUCUACAAGCUGUGUGUAGGGUGUCUAACAAAGGGAAUGACAACAGGAAGUCAAGUGGGUUGGAACAUGACUUCCUGGAAUGGCCUGCUUAUUGGGUUAGCACCCCAAAGCACAUUUGUAACUGAGACCCUCAAGGUCCUAUGGUUGUCAGGAAGUCAACAACAUCAGUCAACAAAUGACUCAAGCCUGUGACACACAGUACUGGCCAAUCGUCACCUGCCUCAAGGCACUGAUUUGUCUCGUACAAAAACUUAAGAACUGUGGGGGAUAACAGUCACAACAAUGAUUAAGACUAAAGAAAAAAUGCCAAACCUGGCAGCUGAUGGAGCUUCUUGUCAUUAGUCAGCUCCACGUCGACCUUGUGAGUGCACAGCCUGGUUACCAGGAUACCGUCCAGCUCGAUCUUGUGAUAGACGCUCUCCAUCAGCAUGGCAGUGACCUCCUCUGUGACUCUGUGGCAUUUAAUGAUGGACAUUGACAAUGCCAUUACUUUUAAUAAAUACGUAGCUUAUUACAUGAUUACGAUUGCAUUCCAACAGAUAGAAAAGUCAAUUUUCUAAUUGGCUCAGAAACUCCACUUGGUACUGUAGAACUGGCAUUUUAUCAUGAAAGACCAUGGAUAUCAGUUGUUGCACAGUGGUGCAUUUCAACUGUCUAUAAAGUGGCUUCCUCUCUUUCUUAGUCGCCUUUUGUAAAAUAACUGGAUAGGUGACAGCUUCUCUUUCACCCAACCCUCAUUUCAUUAAGAGAACAAGCAUUAGAGAGGAAGCCGCUUUAGACUAUUGAGAUGCACUCAUUGAAUAGGCCCAGAACAUCCAUUCCAAAAUGGCUGCCACUGCUCAGCGAACCUGCCCACUCUCACUGCCUGCAGGAGGGAGAUGAAGGACUGGUCCGUCUGCCUACGCACCUCAAUCAGUUCCAUGUUCAGCUGGAUACACUUCCGCCAGAUUCUAGAAUAGAUGUCAAGGAGAGGUCACCAUUUUACUAUUAUUAAUGUAUGAGGCUUUUAUCGUCAUCUUGCCCUCUAAAUACACCUCUGCUGUCUUCAACGAGGAUCUCAGCG